CUCAUUGCUGUUGUACUCCGCUAACACUCUCUAUCCCAUGCUUCUGCUUAUUCUUCUCGCCUGCCUGUCUAACGCUGCACGCAACAUGCUGCCCUCCAUCUCAUUCCACAGCAAACAUGACUAGCUUGUAAGAAGAAAAUUUGCCGAGUAACAUGAUUGAACAAUAUGAUCGAGCGAUACAGACAACAAGGCACAGUCCAUUCACUACGCAAAAAGUUGGUGGAAGGAAAUGGUCAGUCGGCAAAAGACAACAAAAACAGCACAAACAAAAACAUUACUAACAAAACACAUUUGAUGCACAUAAAACUCGUCCUUCCCUCGUCUUUCUAUGAAUAACUAAAAAAAAAAAAUUAAAAAAAAAGUUAACCAAAACAAACUAAGUAAUUCAUUUAAUAAAGACCAAACAAAACAACUAGUAAUUCGUCUUUUUCAACAAUAGUAAUUCGUCUUUCAUCCUUCUAUAACCAACUUUUCCUUCUAUUCAUAAUCAUCCUUCUAUCUACUAAUAUCAUUUUACUGAUUAUUUUUACCACCUUCCUUUACUCUCACCUUCUUAUUACUCAGCCUACCUACCUACCUCUUCCUCCCUUACUCUAG